CGGACGGGUGAGUAACGCGUGGGUAACCUGCCUUGUACUGGGGGACAACAGUUAGAAAUGACUGCCAAUACCGCAUAAGCGCACAGUAUCGCAUGAUACAGUGUGAAAAACUCCGGUGGUACAAGAUGGACCCGCGUCUGAUUAGCUAGUUGGUAAGGUAACGGCUUACCAAGGCGACGAUCAGUAGCCGACCUGAGAGGGUGACCGGCCACAUUGGGACUGAGACACGGCCCAA
rnacentral:rRNA from 1 species